rnacentral:lncRNA from 1 species
CAAGUUCGUCAUUUAUCACAACUUUGGAGGAUGGUAAAUGCUUUGAAGAUCUAUUGUCUCAAAUGGUCCCCCUGGAAACCAGCUCCAGACACAUUCUUUCUAGAAAUUUCCUGCCUCGUUGUAUAAAAGAUUAGACAAAUGUAAGAAUUAACUUCACACUACCAUCUGUUAGUAUAAUUCCUGAAACUCAACACACAGAAACCAAACAGAAAAAAAAGAAGAGGGAGAGAGAGACAACCAACCUUAUUCGGUGCAUGUGCUUAUUUAUAUUUGAUCUUCUUUUCGUUUUACUUGCUCUUCCUAUUAUUUAUGUUCUCUUGAUAUACCAGAGCUCAUAACAUACAAUUCACGUUUUCAUCAUCCAUUAUCUAUUUCUUGAUCAAUGAGCACUUUAAGCCCCAUAUCAUCAAAAAGAAAGAAGAAAAAACCACUCGAUUAUUUAGUCUGUUGCAAUACGGACCAUCUCAAUUCGUAAUGUGUGGAUGAUGACAAGUACAACGGUUAAAGAAUACAACUUAUAAACUUUGCUAAGUAACACAAACCUUUGACGGUUAAUCAAUUUUCAAACAUGGAUAUAGCUCAUAAUGAGAUUCCGCUUCCUCAAGAUUGAACUCAUUAAUGAUGAAUUGAAUAAGAGAUUGAAAACAUUAAUGAGCAAUCUCAUAUCCUCCUCACAAAAUGCUUUUGUAUUAGGGAGGCAGAUCAUAGAU